AAAGCAGAUCAGGUGACUACUGUGUACUUAUAUAGUACAGGGAGGAAAGUCCGGGCUCCAAAGGGCAGGGUGUCCUCCCGAUGAAAUUUCGGGAGAGACCUAGCAAUGGGAGGAAAGUGCCACAGAAAUUAAACCGCUCCUAUGUUAUAUGGGAGAAAGGGUGAAACGGCGUGGUAAGAGCACACCCCUCUCUGAUAAAUAUUCAGAGUAUGAGGUAAACCCCACCAGGAGCAAGGCCAAAUAGGAGAGCAAUGGAAAUUGCCCGUUUCCUUAAGACUCUCGGGUAGGCUGCUUAGAGAAAUUGUCACCGAAUACAGAACUCGGCUUAUGAUCUGCUUUAAGG
rnacentral:RNase_P_RNA from 1 species